rnacentral:rRNA from 1 species
CAGUCAGCGGCUGAGGGAAACCAUUAAGUGAUCCACCUGGGGAGUACGGUCGCAAGAUUGAAACUCAAAGGAAUUGACGGGGGCCCGCACAAGCGGAGGAGCAUGUGGUUUAAUUCGAUGAUACGCGAGGAACCUUACCUGGGCUUAAAUGUUGGAUGACGUCCCGCGAAAGCGGGAUUUCCCUCGGGACGUCCAGCAAGGUGCUGCAUGGUUGUCGUCAGCUCGUGCCGUGAGGUGUCGGGUUAAGUCCCAUAACGAGCGCAACCCCUAUUCUUAGUUGCCAUCAGGUAAUGCUGGGGACUCUAAGAAAACUGCCUACGCAAGUAGUGAGGAAGGUGGGGAUGACGUCAAAUCAGCACGGCCCUUAUGUCCAGGGCUACACACGUGCUACAAUGGCCGGUACAGAGGGCAGCUACCUGGUAACAGGAUGCUAAUCUCGAAAACCGGUCUCAGUUCGGAUCGAAGUCUGCAACUCGACUUCGUGAAGUCGGAUUCGCUAGUAAUCGCACAUCAGCCAUGGCGCGGUGAAUACGUUCCCGGGCCUUGUACACAUCGCCCGUCAAGCCAUGGAAGCUGGGGGUACCUAAAGUCCGUAACCGCAAGGAGCGGCCUAAGGUAAAACUGGUAACUGGGGCUAAGUCGUAACAAGGUAACCAAGGGCGAA